rnacentral:rRNA from 1 species
AUGAGGAAUUGCUCCGGCGUGAUCCUCAUCCUCUCCCUUGCCGCCCUGCUCUUCCUCCUCUCGCCGUCCCCCCUCACCACCCACCAGCCUGCCACCUACCCCGCCGGCUCAGUUGCCGACCUCCUGCCCUCCCUCCCCGGGCUCUCGGGCCUUUACCCGGCGCCCGCCAACUCCACCGCGCACCUCUCCUGGCACCUCCUCCGCCCCAUCCUUUCCCGCUCCGAUGCGAUCCCAGGCACCGCCGCGGGCGUCCUCGAGGCGGCCGCCGCCUGGCGCAACCUCACCGCCGCCGUCGCGGCGGCGGCAGCCGGCAGCAACCAAGAGACCCGCAACGCGAGCUGCCGGGCGUCCGUGGGCGGGGAUCUGCGCGCCCGCGGGGUCAAGAUCCCGUGCGGGCUCGCGGAGGGCGCCGCGGUGACGGUGGUGGCGGUGCCCAAGCAAGGAGCGGCCAGGUUCCAGGCGGAGUUGGUGGGAGGAGGCGGCGAGGUGGUGGCGUGCUUCAAUGUGAGUCUGGGGCCUUCUGGGAUGGUGGUGGAGCAGAGUUCUUGGACUCGCGAGGACGGCUGGGGGGAGUGGGAGCGCUGCCCGCCGCUUGGUCACAUCGGCAGCAAUAGCAGUUGGCAACUAAGUCCGGUCGAUGCCCUUGUUCGUUGCAAUCAGCAAGUAAGUGUGAAUAACAUUCAGGGGAGUAGCAACACCACACAGAAUGUUAGUGCGAACCAGCCUGAAGAUGAAAAGAGGCUCAAAGGACGUGCACAUUUCAGUGGCAGUACUGCAAUUGUCGAAGGAGAGCCUUUUACAGCAACACUGUGGGCUGGUGCUGAAGGGUUCCAUUUGACAGUAAAUGGGAGGCACGAGACAUCAUUUGCAUACAGAGAGAGGUUGGAGCCAUGGUCAGUAGCAGACGUCAGGCUCUCUGGGGAUUUGGAGCUCCUAUCAAUCUUGGCUAAUGGAUUGCCAGUUUCAGAAGAUGUAGACAUGGCAAGUGUUGAGCUUCUGAAGGCCCCACCUGUUCCAAAGAAGCGAAUUUUUCUUCUCGUUGGUGUUUUCUCUACUGGAAACAACUUCAAGCGCCGGAUGGCUUUGAGGCGAACAUGGAUGCAAUAUGAGUCUGUCCGCUCAGGCGAAGUAGCUGUGCGGUUUUUCACUGGCCUUCAUAAGAGUGAGCAGGUCAAUAUGGAAUUAUGGAGAGAAGGUCAGCUGUAUGGUGAUAUCCAGUUUAUGCCAUUUGUUGACUACUAUACCUUGAUCACUCUAAAGACUGUUGCAAUUUGUACGUUUGGGACCAAAAUUAUGCCUGCAAAGUACAUCAUGAAAACAGAUGAUGAUGCUUUUGUUAGGAUUGAUGAAGUCAUCUCUAGCCUGAAGAAGGCCAACCCCCAUGGUCUUUUGUAUGGUCUUAUGUCUUUCCAGUCUUCACCACACAGAGACAAGGAUAGCAAGUGGUUUAUCAGUCCAAAGGAAUGGCCUGUUGAAACAUAUCCGCCGUGGGCUCAUGGUCCCGGAUACAUAAUUUCAAGGGAUGUUGCUAAAUUUGUGGUUCAAGGUCACCAAGAACGAAAACUUCAGCUAUUUAGACUUGAAGAUGUGGCCAUGGGAAUAUGGAUCCAGCAAUACAAAGACAGUGGUCAGCAAGUGAACUAUGCCAACGAUGAGCGCUUCUACAACGAAGGAUGCGACUCUGAUUACGUCCUUGCCCACUAUCAAAGCCCGAGGCUCAUGAUGUGCUUGUGGGAGAAGCUCCAGAAGGAAUCUCAAGCGGUAUGCUGCGAAUAA